UGUGUAUGUGUUUUAAACAGAGCUGUAUAACAUCUGUUUGGCAAGAGCCAAAGAAAAGUGGAAUGCCUUUGUAGCCCCAACGGCUGCUGCAGAAACGGAGAGUGAAGAUGCAGGCUUGUCUCAUGCUGAUCGAGAGGCCAGUCUAGAACUGAUCAAGUUAGACAUUUCCAGAACCUUUCCCAAUCUCUGUAUUUUCCAACAGGGAGGCCCAUACCAUGAUGUAUUGCACAGCAUUCUGGGAGCUUACACUUGCUAUCGUCCUGAUGUGGGAUAUGU